AAGGUAAUUUAUGUUCUCAAGUGUCCAUGUCAAUUAUACUAUGUGGGGAGAACCAAGCGUCCCCUCCACGUAAGAAUAAAUGAGCAUGUUAGAAACAUCAGGAAAGGCUAUGAGAAGCAUUAUGUAUCUCUGCACUUUAAAACAGUACAUAAUAGUGAUCCAAGUAUGUUAGAAUUUUUUGCUAUCCAAAGGGUUAUUUUAAGCUGGAGAGGAGAUGAUGAAAUCAAA